AUGUCGUCCUUUUCGUCCCCCUACCCGUCUCUGAAGCCUGCGUGGUCCCUGCCAUCUGACCUCUGGCUCCUCAGAGAGCUUUCUUCAGACUCCAAAGCCAGUACUUUAAUUCUCUCAUCCUCCCCCACUGAGGUCCUAGUGCAGGGCCGAGGGGCUGCUGACCGGUUCCGUAAGAUGGCCAGAAUCCUAGCGCACAUCUGCGGGUUGACCCUGAGCUUGAAAAGAUAUAUUGGAAAUAGCCCAGCAGUACAGUGGGUGGCCUUCCAUUUGAAGAUACAAAAUAGAAUAAGAAAUGGAAUGUUAUUAAACAUCUUCACUGAAGCUAAAAUGAAUCUGACCAAGGAUUCUGCCAUACUUAAGAGUCUGUUAUCUGUUUGCCCACAUCGAAGAAGUGUAGAAGAUUUCAGACAAAUUCAAGAACAUUUAAAGAAGAACAUCUCAUUUCAGCAUUUGCCAAAUGAAGUCCAACUCCAACGUUGCCAAAUUGUAAUCUAUCAUGAGUACGAAGCUAAAAGUGUAAUUAUAAAGAAAGGACGCUGGCCAAUGGAAUGCUACUUUGUGCUUUCUGGAAAAUUAGCAGCUGUAUCAAGUUUAACAGCUGAAAAUUCCAACUCAGAAAUUAUAAGUGAAUUUGAAGAAGGAGACUUUGUAGGGGAAACUUGUCUGUUAACUAACACCCGCCGACCUACUACAAUUGUAUGCAAAUCAGAUGCAGAACUUCUGGUGAUAAGUAAGAAGGACUUCGACUACAUUCUCUCAGAUAUAGUACAAGAACAAUUUCAAGGAAUGUGCAGCUUCAUAAGGGAUCUGCCAAUGUUCUCUCCCUGGUCAAAAGAGAAGAUUGAUUAUCUUGUUCACUGUUCCUCACUCAGACGCUAUAGGGCUGGGUUUCUUGUCUGUGAAAAUUUAUACUCCAACUACCUCAUCAUAAUCAGAUCGGGUCGGUGCCUGGUAAUGGCCCAGAUAGGAGAGAAUAUAUCUUCACGAAGCAGUUCGGACACACUGAAGUCAGCAUCUACAAGUUUUUUCAAGAAACAUCUUUUGGCUCCUCGGAUAACAUCAGUUACCUCAUUGUCAGCACAAUCCUGGGUAACUUCAUCAGCAUAUUAUGGUAUUGAGUUAAAUUAUUUGGAACAAGGAAAAAUUUUUGGCUUGGUAGAAAAAAUGAAGAAACCAAGUGAUGUACAUUUCAGGCUGGUUAGUGAAGGAGCUGAGUGUAUUUUUAUUCCCACAAAAAUCUUUCUAAUGGAAGCACCCAUUAUAUCCCAGCAAAUGGCUAUAGGGCUGGUGAACAUUUAUCCCACAAAGGGCACAAUUAAGGAGCACCUCAUCAAAAAGCAAGCUUGGAAUAACUACAAAGCCAGGGUUGUCACUCAGCAACUAAAGAGAAAGGCCAGGAUAACCUCAUCCUAAAUUUCUUUUUAAAGAAUAUUAGCAGUGAUGCCGAGAAGACUUUAGAUUUAAUUAGAGGAGGGAGAAAAUGCUAGUGACUCUUGAAGAGACAGGACAUACUCCUAAAUGGUUGCAGGCGUAGAAGCAAUUUACACCUGUUUAGUGUAUCAGGGAAGGUAAUGAUGCCAUUUCUUUGCUGACUUGAAACUAUCACAAAGGUCUUCUCUGCCCGUUGAGAAAAGGAAAUUCAUGCACAUUCGUGAAAAUGCAAUCAAUUUGAAUGACAGUAAGACUGAGUUCAAAUUCUUCAUGUAAAUAUAUGCAUAUGCUGGGUUCACAUAUUAAACAAUAUAUUGCUACUGUCUGUUUAAUAUUGAUGUUGUACUUUGUGUCACAUGCUUCAAAACACUGUGACAGCCUCAAGCAAUAAAGAAGGGAAAAAAACUGAGAGAACCGUAUGC
ensembl:lncRNA